rnacentral:rRNA from 1 species
AAAUUGAAGAGUUUGAUCAUGGCUCAGAUUGAACGCUGGCGGCAGGCCUAACACAUGCAAGUCGAACGGUAACAGGAAGAAGCUUGCUUCUUUGCUGACGAGUGGCGGACGGGUGAGUAAUGUCUGGGAAACUGCCUGAUGGAGGGGGAUAACUACUGGAAACGGUAGCUAAUACCGCAUAACGUCGCAAGACCAAAGAGGGGGACCUUCGGGCCUCUUGCCAUCGGAUGUGCCCAGAUGGGAUUAGCUAGUAGGUGGGGUAACGGCUCACCUAGGCGACGAUCCCUAGCUGGUCUGAGAGGAUGACCAGCCACACUGGAACUGAGACACGGUCCAGACUCCUACGGGAGGCAGCAGUGGGGAAUAUUGCACAAUGGGCGCAAGCCUGAUGCAGCCAUGCCGCGUGUAUGAAGAAGGCCUUCGGGUUGUAAAGUACUUUCAGCGGGGAGGAAGGGAGUAAAGUUAAUACCUUUACUCAUUGACGUUACCC